GAAUGAAGUUAGCAUGGUACUGUGCACGUAAACUGAGCUAAAGCGGAUUGACAUGUCUGCCCUCUUUGAGUUUCUUUGAUUUGAGGGCCUGGUUGAGAUCCACAUUA
rfam:Eutrema salsugineum unplaced genomic scaffold scaffold_2, whole genome shotgun sequence.